rnacentral:rRNA from 1 species
UGGGGAAUCUUGCGCAAUGGGCGAAAGCCUGACGCAGCAACGCCGCGUGAGCGAAGACGGCCUUCGGGUUGUAAAGCUCUGUCAGGAGGGACGAAGCCACUCAGGUGAAUAGCCGAGAGGGUGACGGUACCUCCAGAGGAAGCCCCGGCUAACUACGUGCCAGCAGCCGCGGUAAUACGUAGGGGGCUAGCGUUGUCCGGAAUCAUUGGGCGGAAAGCGCGUGGAGGCGGACAUCCAAGGCUGGUGUGAAAGCUCGGGG